rnacentral:rRNA from 1 species
GAUGAACGCUGGCGGUCUGCUUAACACAUGCAAGUCGAACGGAAUCCUUCGGGAUUUAGUGGCGGACGGGUGAGUAACGCGUGAGAAUCUGCCUUCAGGUUCGGGACAACAGCUGGAAACGGCUGCUAAUACCGGAUGUGCCGAGAGGUGAAAGCUUUAGUGCCUGAAGAUGAGCUCGCGUCUGAUUAGCUAGUAGGAGUGGUAAUGGCACCCCUAGGCGACGAUCAGUAGCUGGUCUGAGAGGAUGAUCAGCCACACUGGGACUGAGACACGGCCCAGACUCCUACGGGAGGCAGCAGUGGGGACUGUUCCGCAAUGGGCGCAAGCCUGACGGAGCAAGACCGCGUGAGGGAAGAAGGUCUGUGGAUUGUAAACCUCUUUUGAUGGGGAAGAAGACAGUGACGGUACCCAUCGAAUCAGCCUCGGCUAACUCCGUGCCAGCCGCCGCAGUAA